UACGUAGGGUGCGAGCGUUGUCCGGAAUUAUUGGGCGUAAAGGGCUCGUAGGCGGUCUGUUGCGUCGGUAGUGAAAACUCAGGGCUUAACCCUGAGCCUGCUUCCGAUACGGGCAGACUAGAGGUAUGCAGGGGAGAACGGAAUUCCUGGUGUAGCGGUGAAAUGCGCAGAUAUCAGGAGGAACACCUGUGGCGAAAGCGGCGCACUGGACCAUAACUGACGCUGAUGCGCGAAAGCUAGGGGAGCAAACAGG
rnacentral:rRNA from 1 species